AAACCCUUUUGCACUCUACUACAUGGUUUCUUGGUUUGUAGGUGUGUUCACUUUUUGGUUGACUACCUUUCUGUUUCAGUCACACCCUCUAGCAUGUUUGAGAGCUUAGUCCACAUGUGAUUAGUUUCAGUUUGUAUGCUCUGGUCAAAAAGACACUUGUACUGUUUUUGUUAGUUACUGUACUUCAUAGAAGCAGUACUUUAGGCAGGAGCACAUAUUUGAAACUUCCUGGGGUUUUUUAUAUUCCCUGCCCAAUUGCUGGUGAAAGUUCCUGUGAAAAAAUUUACUGCUGAAAUUAUUUUCUGUAAAAACUUUGUUUUAAUUUUCCACUUGGAACUUGGUUAAGGAUUCUGAUGGACCAGUCUGGAAAUGAGUUACGUGGUGUACUUUUUGAUAGCUCUUGCAGAUAACAAAAUGAGUUGCAGAGAAGAAAAUAACACAGGCAGUGAACAGAUUUCCCCUCUAUGCUAAGACCCCUACAGAGCUUAUUUGCUGCUAACUUCUUUCGAGAGGGACUAAGUGAGCUCUAAACACAUGAGUGAAUUUGUCUGAAGAUUUCCAAAGAGGAUUAAUAGAGAUGUAUUAUCUGCUUUGGUAUCUCAAGCAGAGAGCCAAAAAUUAUAGAAUACAUCACAUUAUUCAUAACUCGCUCAGCUCUAGUAAUGAAUGCUGUCUGCCAGGGUUGUGCAGAGUAAAGUCUAUUUAAAUGGAGUAGCUUGUCACAGAGAAAACUAAUGCUAGGCAAAAUGUGAUCACAUCCUUUUGAUGCCAAGCAGUUCGUAGCUGUCAACUAAAAAUUAAAGACGACUUGUCUUGGAGCAUCCAGAACCACAGAAAUACAAAAGGUGAUCAACUGAGACUUAGCUGAUUUGAGAUGUCACUUCUGUCUGCUUGGCAACAACACUGUUAAACUUGCUAUAAAUGAGUUUCAAUAUAAUUAACUACUUGUUUUGCCCUGUACUUCAGGAUUUUGUUUCAUGCAUCAGUCAACAAUGCUGUAACCACCUACACAAGAAGGUAAUUAGGCUGGUUUAUUUUUUUUUUUAAUAACCUGGAACUGAAGUAUUGAUAAAGGAACUUAAUUUUUUCUUUCUUAGCUAUAUUAGAAAACCAAAUCUAGGGAUUUUGGUACUGCAGUGAAAUAACACAUUCUUUUAGAAGAGAGAAUUAGGGUGAGGAAUACCAUGAAAAUGCAGUUAAACUGUUCAAGGCAGAAGAAUUCAUAAUGGAAGAUGAAGGGGUCAGGAGUCUAUGCAGUUGACGACGUUUAGGCGUGCAGUGCUACACCUACAGCUUGGGGAUAAACUUUUGCCUCUUUGAGCGUAUUGCUUACCAUGGUUGUGGUCUUGGAGACACCGUGGGAAUCCUGUUAGCGAUGAGCUGUCUGUGUCUGUAUUGAUACAGAGUGCAAUCUUGGUUUUAUUCCUGAGGAAUCUUAGGGCACCACCUCUCUGCUCCUCGUUUGUUUUUCCAAGUCUGAUGGAUUUUCAUUAACAGAUAUUUCCACUGAAUUGCUGAACAAAUUACUUAAUCUCUAGCUUUCUCACCCCCUGUGCCGAGCACGCUAUAUUUUUGUCUUUAAUGUGCAGCAGCAUGAAAAUAAAAGCAAUUUUAUCAUCAGCUUUCAGUAAGAACUGCUUUUUUUUAAAUUAGUGUUUUGCCAGAAUGGUCAGGUGUCGGUCCAAUGUUAGAUGGAUCUUCUAGUUGAUGCUGUUUAAUGUUGAGGGAGGGAGUACAAAAGGUGACAUUGUGUGGUUUGGGUUAGUUUGUUUUUUUUUUUGUUUUUUUUGUUUUUUUAAUGCUGAGAGUUUAGUUAUUUGGGGUUACAUUUUUCAGUGGAAAGCUGAAGAAGAAAACUAUCUAUGUAAGUACUGUUGGCAUAACUCAUCCAGAGCUGAUAAUCCACUUGUACCUGGGAGUCUCUCAAAGACAUGGUCUGCAGUACAGAAAGAGCAAAACAAAAAGGUGGGGACUGGUGUUAAUACAAAAAGCUGCAGAGGAGGAACAAGACCAUCUACAGUUCCUGUUUAAUCAGCUUUUUUUGCUUGUGUAGUAGCAUUCCUUCAAAAGCCUUUUUGGAAAGUGGUGGAGGGACAGGAGGACUGCACAGAGCUUGAGAACGACAGUUAGGGUCCCUGUGGAUCGUUGGAGACUGUAGGGUGCAGCGUGUUACUUAGAGUGAAGUUUGAAGCUGCUGAUGUUGCGAUGCUGGUGCUCCCUUCCUUCGGUCACUUCAGGAUUACAGGUUCCUGCAAUUUGGGGUGAAAAGGAGGGGCAGACAAAAUGGUUCUGAUCCAGUUACAUGCCAUGAUGUCGUUUGAAAAUAACUGAAGGAUUGUGUUUUCUGAUCAAUGCCAUUUCCUCAUUUCACAUAUUGCCACGUGUCUCAUUUGGGGUGAGCGAUAGCUGCUGGUGGCCCUGUUGGCUGCCUGCGUAUGCAGGUUUGGGCAUCACCUAAAAAGAAGUCCAAAGCCUGCAGGCAUGUACCAGAUGAGAAUAAAGUAACUUGGGCCCGAAGAGUUCUUGGUGUGUGGCCGAGUAUCUGCUCCAGAUGAGAGGAGUUGGUGGCAUCUCGGGGGCUACAAAUGGAGAAGUAGGACCGAGGAGGGACACACAGAUGCUGUUUCGUGGAAGUAUCCCAGGUAAAACCCAACUGGAAAGGAUCUAUUGCACGUAUGUCCUGCAGUGACUGUCAGCUAAUUCCAUAUGCCUCAGUGGUAAAAGUUAACCCUUGCGUUUGCCCCCACCACCUUUUGCUUGUGAAUAAUUGGGCUGGUUGAUCCCCUCUCCUGCCAACCUAGAUUUGUGAGAGAUUUUGCAAGUUCAGCUACUUUUGAGUUUUCCUUGGCAUCUGUUGAAGUUGGUGAGGAGUAUAAUUAUCCCUCCUGCCUUUACCUUGCCGACCGCUUUGCGGAGAGGACAGGCUGAGACGAUGCGGCAGCCAGCAGGCGGGAGAUGCUCUGUUCUUUCCCCUCUAAUGGAGGUGGAGGAGGAGGAAGGCCGAAGAAAUGAUAUUUACAGUCCUGCUCAGGCCUCCUGCCUAAAUGCAUCAUUGCCUGGCAGCUGAGUCCCUGUCAAGCUGCCCGUGGGUGGGAAGGCUGCCAGGUGAACACAUGGGCAUGGAUGCCGGCCGUGAAGGAGCACGAGCAGGAAUUGUGGAUGGCAGGAUGGGCGUCCCAGCUGGGCGCAUCCCCGGGACCAGUUACCGCUGAGGAGCUGUGUGUCCCUACAUCUAAGGGCUGGAGUGACUUCAAACAGUCUCCAUGCCUGCUAAUUUGGGGCACGGGAGAGUUGCCAGGCUGAGGCAUGCAUAGCCCUGAGACCUCAGGCUUCGGCUUAGCCGCGGAGCAGGUAGGGAGUUGGCAGCAGCGACAUGAGCAUCCAUAUGCUGGCUUGCCAGUGUGCUUUGCCCGGAGAGGCCGCCUCCGCGGGCGGGUGGAUGAUGGCUUUUCCUUUCUGCCUCCUUUCAUCUGUGAGCAGGGGCCAGAGAAAAUGCAUGGAGGAGGGGGGAACCUCUGCAGCUGGGCUGGCCUGGGUAGGCGUACGGAGCAUAGGGAUUUCUGGACUAAUCCCUGUGCUACCCUCCCAGGAGGGCAGGGUGAAAGCCGGGACUUCACCAGGCAGGCGUGAGUGACAGGGGAAGUCCAGGGUGUUGGUCUGAGAAGAUCCUGCCGUGGAUGCACGCUCCGUCCUGCCUUAACUGGCACAGUCGAGGUCAGUUGUGCCAGCAGGGCUCUGCCGUAUUCCCAGGGGGAGACCUGAGCAGUGGUGAGCCGUGCUGGCCCUCGUAGUAGUCGCUGAACUGACAGUGGGGAGUUGUGCCUUGCCACAGACUUAGUCUGGGACUGGGCUGGGUGGGGAGCUCAGGUGUUUCCCGAGACACGUAGCACCAACCAAGGGAAAACAUUUACAUGGUGUGUGGACCUGCAAUAGUUGUCCCCUCUCUUCAGGCCUAGGUGUGGGGAAAAAGAGCAAAAGCCUUUUUCUUUGCUUGAGUUGUUGAGGAAGAGGGGCUCGUUUUCUUUUACUCAAUUGGGGGUAGGUUGUUUUGGUGGAGCCAUCCCCAUGACAAAGUCAUCCUCCCUCCCUUCCAUUCCCUGGUACACAAAAUGCUUUAAAUUGAUGGGUACUUGCCCUUGUUUUGAAGUGACAGAGCCGGUUCUUUGAUAAAACUGCCAGCUACGCUGCGCAGCUCAGACCUAGUGAAGUUGGGAGAUGUUUUCUGUCUGAUGUCAGCUUGAAGCCUCGCAGACACCGAAUCCCUCUAGAGGAGGGCACAUCUGUUCAGGAAUCUGAUCUCAUUUCUGCCUUAUAGAUUCUCCAACUAAAUGGACCAUUUGCUUUCAUGAAAGUAAUUGCUUUGAAUGCUGUGGAAAAAAGAAGCCAAAGCCGCACAGACAGCACCUAACCUCGCUCGUGUUUAUUCAAUAAAUUAAUAAAAUAAACACUAAUAGGGUAGCGUUCAAGUUGACAACAGCGCAGUAACCUAUUUUGAAGCCGUGGUGGCUAUUGCUAGCACAAGCAACCGCUCUCUGUAACAUAAAAAAAUCUGGCUGGGGCUGCAGAUAGCGGUUAUAGUGCACCCACGAGCAUCGUGGAGCUGGGGCCUAACAGCUCCAUAGAAACACAUCUGUUCCCCACCAUGCUGAUGGGGGGCUGCUCCGGUUCCGCUGAAUUCAUCCCCCUGGCCUCAGUUGCCUCAACUACAGGAGCUCCUGUAAAAUACAAUGCUAAUACCGGAGGGCUGUUGACCUUGGCUCCUUGGUGCUGAAGCUGCUCCCACCCCACUCCCGCCCGGCUGUUGUACGGGCAGGGCACACGCUCCUGGCACAGAGAGCAAUGAGCUUGUGUCCCCAAAUGCGGGGAGAUCUGGGGCACUCAAAUCCUGUCCUAGGCUCUGUGUCAAUAUGGCUUGUGAGCUUUUCCUAGGAAUAAGAAGGGCAUCAUUGCAUUCUCCCUACAAAGCUUCUUCCCUCCCCUGCUGGAGCACCCUGCCCCUCUGCCAGCAGCCUCGCUGCUCCCUGCCUGCCACAGAAGAGAAAUAGUGCUGCACACCCUGCCUGCCAGGAGCCACGGGUGCAUCUUUCCCCACGCACAGACCCCCUCGCCUCCCUCCCAUCCACCCUGUUCCUGGCCUCUCGUGUGGCAGGGAAGCCGUAGCUUAUUUCUGCUGCAGCAGCUUGGCUGGCUAAGGCCGUGUCCUCGGAAGCUGGCAGCAUCCUUCCCUCGCAGUACUCGGGUCCCAUCACCUUCUGAUUUCAGUAUGAGGUUGGG